rnacentral:ncRNA from 1 species
GUGUGGUGUGAAAGGAGAGAAGGUUAGCACUCCCCUGGAUAAGGAUGCAAGAAGUCCUAGUGGCUUAGGAAAUUCU